rnacentral:rRNA from 1 species
CAAAGGAAUUGACGGGACCCGCACAAGCGGUGGAUGAUGUGGAUUAAUUCGAUGCAACGCGAAAACCUUAACCUACCCUUGACAUGUCCGGAAUCCCGAAGAGAUUUGGGAGUGCUCGCAAGAGAACCGGAACACAGGUGCUGCAUGGCUGUCGUCAGCUCGUGUCGUGAGAUGUUGGGUUAAGUCCCGCAACGAGCGCAACCCUUGUCAUUAGUUGCCAUCAUUUGGUUGGGCACUCUAAUGAGACUGCCGGUGACAAACCGGAGGAAGGUGGGGAUGACGUCAAGUCCUCACGGCCCUUAUGGGUAGGGCUUCACACGUCAUACAAUGGUCGGUACAGAGGGUUGCCAACCCGCGAGGGGGAGCUAAUCCCACAAAGCCGAUCGUAGUCCGGAUCGCAGUCUGCAACUCGACUGCGUGAAGUCGGAAUCGCUAGUAAUCGUGGAUCAGCAUGUCACGGUGAAUACGUUCCCGGGUCUU